CAGUCUCAGAUGGUAGUGAACUC
rnacentral:piRNA from 1 species